UGUGGCAGAAUAGUGCAAUAAAUUUAAGAUUUAUAAAAAAAGCAAACCUUUCAUUAGA
rnacentral:tRNA from 3 species